rnacentral:rRNA from 1 species
AACGAACGCUGGCGGCGUGGAUUAGGCAUGCAAGUCGAACGAGAAUCUGGAGGUUCAAGUUUUCGGACAAGAACUUUCGGAGGAAAGUGGCGGAAGGGUGAGUACAACAUGGAUAAUCUACCUUCAAGUUGGGUAUAGCUUCCCGAAAGGGGAGAUAAUCCCGAAUGUGGUGAUCCGGCGCCUGUCGGAGAAUCCAAAGGUGGGGACCGCAAGGCCUGCCGCUUGAAGAUGAGUCCGUGCACUAUCAGCUAGUUGGUGAGGUAAUGGCUCACCAAGGCGAUGACGGUUAGCUGGUCUGAGAGGAUGGUCAGCCACACUGGGACUGAGAUACUGCCCAGACUCCUACGGGAGCUGCAGUCGAGAAUCAUUCGCAAUGGCGCAAGCCUGACGGUGCGACGUCGCGUGGAGGAUGAAGGUCUUCGGAUUGUAAACUCCUGUCAUGGUGGAAUAAGUGGCCAGGGCAGUGAAUAGUGUCCGUUAGGAA